rnacentral:lncRNA from 1 species
GACAAAUAAAAUUUUCUUUGAAUAUCCUGAAGCAUUAAUAAUAAUUUAAGUUUCUUCUGCAUGCCUCCUUCUGGAAGUAGUAAUAGAAUAAAGGUUUGAGGCACCGUUUUUUGUGUAUUUUGUAUAAUAUAUCUUCAGCAGUAAAGUAUGUCAUAUGUUUGGAUUCUGGACAUGGAUGAGCAGUUUAUACCUCAGUCACAUCUGUUCGUUCCAGCUGUAUUUUUAUGGAUAUAUGAGAUUCCAAUAUUAUUAAUUAAGCCAGCUAAAAUCAAGAGCUGGCAGCUCUCCACAUUUUGACUGUCUCCUAGAGAAGAAUAAACACUGUGCCUGGAGCAACACUGAUUCUUCUGACUACACAGCACCAUGUGACUUGGGUGAACUGUUAGAUCCGUCAGUGAACAGAAUGACAUCUCCAUACCUUGAUGAAAAUACUGCCGUUGUAAUAAUUAAGCUCUUCCUUCAUUUUUUUCCCACUUAAUAACAAGACCCCUAUUCUCGCUCUUCCCCGAGAAAAGAAGUUACAGGAAAAUUGUGGGAUAGAAUUAAAAUAUUUUCUUGAAUCUAUGAAUAGGAGACCAUCUUUAAGUAAGAUGAAUUGUGAAGAGAGAUGAGUUGUCUUCUCUGUAAAUAAGACUCGGGAAAUGAGUACUGUGUUGAACUACAAAGUAGCAGGACUUUUAUACGCUAAAGGCACAAAAUGGUUACCCCAUGAGGCAUGAUUAAGAACUGUGACUGGAAGUUGACAUAACAGGGAUCUAAUCGAUUUCAUUUCCUGGAUACAGAACAUCUAGUCCAUUUUUUAUGAAGGAAUGACUGGACUGACUCAUCACCACAUUGAUCUGUUCUUCAGGCCCAUUCAUUCAGUAUGUCUUGAGAGUCCACCCACAUCACCAGUGUUUCACAUUAGUAUAAAUUACAGAUGCCAUUUUACUAUGGUAAGUGAAUAACAUGAAUGGUUGGUGAUGUGAUAAUGAUAUUUUUAGUGUUAACAAUACUUUUAAAUGUAAUUAAAUAUAAAACAUAGCAUUUCAAAUACAGGUGCCAUUUAGUAUAAAUUAAUUACAGGUGCCGUUUUACUAUGAUACGUGAAUUACAUGAAAAGCUGGUGAUGUGAUAAUGGUAUUUUCUUUUGGUGUUAACAUGUUUAAAUGUAAUUCAAUGUAAAAUUUAACAUUUUAAUACAUUUUUUACUACUUCCUUUGGUUCACUUCCAUUACUGGAAACAUCCUAUUUCUUUUAAUAAAACCACAUGUAAAGUCAAAUAUUUGGGAAGCCAAGGCAGGAGGAUUGAUUAAGGCCAGGGUUUCAGGACCACCUCGGGAAACACAGCAAGAGCCUGUCUCCACAAAAAGUAAUAAAUUAUCCAGGCAUGAUGGCACGCAGCUUUAGUCCCAGC